UGGGGAAUUUUGGACAAUGGGGGAAACCCUGAUCCAGCCAUCCCGCGUGUGCGAUGAAGGCCUUCGGGUUGUAAAGCACUUUUGGCAGGAAAGAAACGUCGCGGGUUAAUACCCCGCGAAACUGACGGUACCUGCAGAAUAAGCACCGGCUAACUACGUGCCAGCAGCCGCGGUAAUACGUAGGGUGCAAGCGUUAAUCGGGAUUACUGGGCGUAAAGCGUGCGCAGGCGGUUCGGAAAGAAAGAUGUGAAAUCCCAGAGCUUAACUUUGGAACUGCAUUUUUAACUACCGGGCUAGAGUGUGUCAGAGGGAGGUGGAAUUCCGCGUGUAGCAGUGAAAUGCGUAGAUAUGCGGAGGAACACCGAUGGCGAAGGCAGCCUCCUGGGAUAACACUGACGCUCAUGCACGAAAGCGUGGGGAGCAAACAGGAUUAGAUACCCUGGUAGUCCACGCCCUAAACGAUGUCAACUAGCUGUUGGGGCCUUCGGGCCUUGGUAGCGCAGCUAACGCGUGAAGUUGACCGCCUGGGGAGUACGGUCGCAAGAUUAAAACUUAAAUGAAUUGACGGGGGUGCAUAGCU
rnacentral:rRNA from 1 species